GGACCAGACAGGCUAGCCUUGCUCCACAUCAGUAAGACUUGAGUGUCCAUGACCCUGCUGCUGGUUCACCAUUUGUGCUUCUUUGACCACUUUUGGUAGGGGAGGUGGCACUCCAGCAUAUAUCUGUCUACAGCAGCUUGUACGAUUGGUGGGUUUUACAGAUCGUGCCCAGAGGUAAAGCUUGGAGAUUUAAAAGUAUUUCUCGGCUCCUUCCUUGGCUUCACCUUGUUGAAAGCUUUGUCUACGAGCAGGUCUAAACCUCCUGGCAGAGGCAACCACGGUUUGCACUGAAAUAUGUUUAGCCAUCUUCACAAGACCCUGUGGACCAGCAGAAGGAAAACAAUCCCAAAGCAUCACUUUUACACCAAUACAUUUUACAAUGUGUAUUAGGUGCUUUUCCUCAUAUGUAGUCCUCCUUUCUCACCAAACACGCUUUUGGUCCAAUUUGACCUCAACUUUAUCGCAC
ensembl:lncRNA